GGCGCUGGGUCGGAGAAAAGGCCUUGAGGGGAAAGAGAGUGGGAAGGGAGUAUCCAGGGUGCCCAGCAACAGGUCCCGCUCUUCGUGUUUCUUGAAGGUCGGCAUGAGGUCUCCCUAGACUCUGGGAAGAGCCGGCGUUCAGGUCCUGAGGAAUUAAUGCCUCUGUAGAUCAGAACCUCUGUCUGGCACAAUCUCCAGCUCUGGCUCUGGCCUCUUGUGACGAGGGAGACGCUUGACCACGCAGGAUGCAGACUCAGCACUUUCAGAGGCUUUCAUCCAGUCCCGAGUUACACGUCAUGCUCACCUCCAUUUUCCCGGACUGCAGUUCUUGGAGAAGGAAAAGAAUAACCUGACUGGCCAGGAUAUGGACUUCAACUGCAGCUUGUUUAAAUCAACAACAAAUACUCAACCAACUUGGGAAGCAGAGGCAAGAAGAUCUCUGAGUUCAAGGCCAGCCUGGCCUACAAGGCCAGUUCCAAGAUAGCCAGGGCUACAGAGGAAACCCUGUCUCCAAAAACAAAAAACAUCCCAAAACUGUAAUUUUUUGAGGUAGGGUUUCAUGUAGCCUAGGCUGACCUCUAGCUCUCCAUCUCCCCUACUCCGCCCCCAAACACAAAACAGGGUUUCUUUGCAUAGCCCAGGCUGUCCUGGAACUCUGCAGAGGGUGGCCUUGAACUGUCUGUGCUGGGAUUAAAGCUAAUGCUAACCUCCA